AACAUAUGCAAUGAUAUUUACCAAUGACGUAUAUAUAGAGCUAGACCGCUCACUGGCCGCUGAGAGACGGUAAAUAGGAGCUGACUUCCGGUAGUGGCAAGAAGUGGUUUCAGAAUGGAACGCCAGCACGGUGGGUGUGGCUAAUAUCUGACCAUGGUGAAGUCGUGUGCUGCCAUCUCCUGCACUAAUCCAUUUGGAAUAUUUCCUUUCAUAAGUUUUCCAAGCAGUCCAAGGACAGCACACUGAGAGAUCAAUGGAUACAGGCCAUCAGCAGAGAAGUGGUGAGGACCAAGAGGAGAUGAUCAUAAUUAUGUCUGCAGCAACCAUUUCAGGGAGGAGGACUUCAUCCUCUCAAAACAUGCGCAACACAAGCUUCUCAGGCCAGGAGCUGUACCAGCCCUCAGUUUGGGGAAACCAGAGAAAAAGAUGAGGACAACCCAAAGCAGCCCGGCAGCAGUGGCAUUAUACCAGCACAUGGACAUGGAGCCUGAACUAGAGUCUGAAGAGGGCAGUGCUGCUGUUAGUGAACACCAUGCAUACUGUACAGACAGCGACACCCUGAAGAGGAAAUAUGACGGUCUAAGUGUACAGCAUGAAAAGCUGAGGCAGGACUUCAACAAUGCCAAACGUAGAGAGAAGCACACUGUAAAUUUGACGAACAUCAAGCUACAAGGAGUGUCUGUGAGGAAGUCCUUUACUAAAACAGUUCUAUUUAGAAAUCAGUGACUUUCCAAUAUCCUUAUUAUUUCCAGCAAUGCUUAUAAAUUCCUGUAUUUUGUGUAAAAACUCCUGGAUAUUUUGAAGCCUUUUGACGCACUGAAAAUUAGUAAUUUGUUCACUUUGUGAAAAUUAUGUAGGAAAGUACACUUUUGGUGAGAUUUUUAAAAAGCCAUGCAUCUUAUAUCGUCAAACUGCUUUUCUUGAAACAAUUUAGGCUAUUUCUGGGAAAACAGGCUACUUCAUAAGUUUCAAACUGAAACAUUUUGUUUUUGCCCUAAAGUUGGCGUUUUAUAGCAAAUUGUUCAUGGACUUUUAUUGUGAAAUAUAUAUUUCCUACAAUACUCCUAUAUUUUCUCAGAGAAGACUUUUAUUUUCUCAUAUUUUUAUCUGUCAGGUGCACUUGAUACGCUGUAAAUAUUUUAUUGGAACACGGAUAUUUGCAACUGAAGCUAGAAGUGGUGUAACUAUUGUAAUGCAUUUAUCAACACAAACAUUUGUCUGGGGGGUGUAUUUUAUAUUUUUUGGUAACAAGUUGGAGCAGUAUUCUGUUGUAAAAAUAAAAUACUUUCAAUGGUU